GAUGAACGCUGGCGGCGUGCUUAACACAUGCAAGUCGAACGGAAAGGCUCCUGCUUGCAGGGGUACUCGAGUGGCGAACGGGUGAGUAACACGUGGGUGAUCUGCCCUGCACUUCGGGAUAAGCCUGGGAAACUGGGUCUAAUACCGGAUAGGACCACAUUUUGGAUGGUGUGGUGGAAAGUUUUUCGGUGUGGGAUGAGCUCGCGGCCUAUCAGCUUGUUGGUGGGGUAAUGGCCUACCAAGGCGUCGACGGGUAGCCGGCCUGAGAGGGUGUACGGCCACAUUGGGACUGAGAUACGGCCCAGACUCCUACGGGAGGCAGCAGUGGGGAAUAUUGCACAAUGGGCGCAAGCCUGAUGCAGCGACGCCGCGGGGGGGAUGACGGCCUUCGGGUUGUAAACUCCUUUCGCUAGGGACGAAGCGUUUUUGUGACGGUACCUGGAGAAGAAGCACCGGCUAACUACGU
rnacentral:rRNA from 1 species